rnacentral:rRNA from 1 species
CCUACGGGAGGCAGCAGUGAGGAAUAUUGGUCAAUGGACGAGAGUCUGAACCAGCCAAGUAGCGUGAAGGAUGACUGCCCUAUGGGUUGUAAACUUCUUUUAUAUGGGAAUAAAAUGUUCCACGUGUGGGCUUUUGUAUGUACCCUAUGAAUAAGGAUCGGCUAACUCCGUGCCAGCAGCCGCGGUAAUACGGAGGAUCCGAGCGUUAUCCGGAUUUAUUGGGUUUAAAGGGAGCGUAGGUGGAUUGUUAAGUCAGUUGUGAAAGUUUGCGGCUCAACCGUAAAAUGGCAGUUGAAACUGGCAGUCUUGAGUACAGUAGAGGUGGGCGGAAUUCGGGGUGUAGCGGUGAAAUGCUUAGAUAUCACGAAGAACUCCGAUUGCGAAGGCAGCUCACUGGACUGCAACUGACACUGAGGCUCGAAAGUGUGGGUAUCAAACAGGAUUAGAUACCCCUGUAGUC